AACAAGGUCUCCGUUGGUGAACCAGCGGAGGGAUCAUUACUGA
rnacentral:rRNA from 7 species